rnacentral:ncRNA from 1 species
UUGUCUUCAGGGCGAGGUGCAAUUCCUCACCGGCGGUAAGAGUCCGCGACUCGGCUGAGUAUUUUUCCACUUGGCCGACUGAUUCGGCGCAAUUCCGAAACCGACGGUAAAGUCCGGAUGUGAGAGGACG